AGUUGGCAUGCAUACAUCUGCAUAUGAAAGCAACUAUUUGUAGUCAUAAAAUGAAUUUUCUCCAUUUACCUUUUCAUGUAUGCAUUUACGAUGUCAAUUUUUUUUGUUUUUUGUUUUGCAAACACUUAUCUUAAUGCUUCUGUUCGCUGAAACUCUGCUUCAUCCUGAUGUUGCUCUGUCCCUCAGUUCAAAAUCAAGACAUACGAACCAAUUGUGCUCAAUUAGCCAGAAGACCAGAUGAGGGCCCAUGGCGAGCAGAUGAGGGUGCAGCUAAAGGCCUAAGGCGAGGAGAUGAGGACCUAUGCCGAGAUGGUGAGAGACCUUGUACAAGCCAUACAAAUGUCCGGCCUCCAAAUCUCGUUACCAGCACCUCAUCUUGUUUCAGCUUCGACCUCAGAGCCACCUCGCCCUGCCGAUACCCAGUAGCCUGAUGUAUUAAACCUAGUUCACUUGUAGUUUUUUCUUUUUUGUUCGGACAUUUUGUAUGUACAUUUUCAUAUAUUUUAUAAUUAAAUAUUUUUGCUUGGUUAAUUAA